UGUAGGUGUUACCAAGCACGACCCUUCAGCUCAAAACAAAGAUAAGAAAUGCAGAUUUUUUAUUUUUUUUCAUUUUCCAUUUUCUUUUCCUUCUUCUCUCUACCUUUCUCUCAUUUUUCCUUUACUUUCUCGGUGGCCAAACACUCCGCCAUUGCUCCACCCUUACACCACCACCUCAACCCACCAUCACCACCACCGCCGGCCAUCUUACCUCGCCGGAAAAAGCUCCGAUCGGCCACUUAUUUCUCUUUACAAAAAUAGCACAAAACAGUUUCAACUCUAUAUUUUUCUUAAUCUCUUCAAGAAUCAAAGCUUGGGGUUCCUUUUCUUCAAGGAUUAGAGGCUUUUAAUUGGAUUAGAGGAAGGCGUCCUUACUUGUGAGAGUUAGCUCGUGGAGUUGUGAUUUACACUUUCUGCUAUUUUGGAGAUUCCUGGACUAUAGCAUGGUUCGUCUCAACGUGGAAGCUUAGAUUUCUAGAGGAUCAAAGGUGGGCGUUUUGUAGUUGGAGUUCUGCAUAAGGUCACUCUAGGAUGUAGUUUUAUCUUUUGUAUUUAUGAAGAUAGUUGAUUGUAAAUAUUUUUUAUUAUGAAUUUUGUUGUAAAGAUGAAUUUACGUUAGUGUUUUUGAGAAAUGGUGCUUGGGAACUUAGUGUGGCAUGAUGAUAUUUUUGAACUUGAAUGGAUCAAUUAGUAUAAAAUGGCUGAUUGAAAGA